AGUGAACGCUGGCGGUAGGCCUAACACAUGCAAGUCGAACGGCAGCACAGUAAGAGCUUGCUCUUACGGGUGGCGAGUGGCGGACGGGUGAGGAAUACAUCGGAAUCUACUUUUUCGUGGGGGAUAACGUAGGGAAACUUACGCUAAUACCGCAUACGACCUACGGGUGAAAGCAGGGGAUCUUCGGACCUUGCGCGAUUGAAUGAGCCGAUGUCGGAUUAGCUAGUUGGCGGGGUAAAGGCCCACCAAGGCGACGAUCCGUAGCUGGUCUGAGAGGAUGAUCAGCCACACUGGGACUGAGACACGGUCCAGGCUCCUACGGGAGGCAGCAGUGGGGAAUAUUGGACAAUGGGCGCAAGCCUGAUCCAUCCAUACCGCGUGGGUGAAGAAGGCCUUCGGGUUGUAAAGCCCUUUUGUUGGGAAAGAAAAGCAGCAGGUUAAUACCCCGCUGUUCUGACGGUACCCAAAGAAUAAGCACCGGCUAACUUCGUG
rnacentral:rRNA from 1 species